rnacentral:rRNA from 1 species
GACGAACGCUGGCGGCGUGCUUAACACAUGCAAGUCGAACGGAAAGGCCCUGCUUUUGUGGGGUGCUCGAGUGGCGAACGGGUGAGUAACACGUGAGUAACCUGCCCUUGACUUUGGGAUAACUUCAGGAAACUGGGGCUAAUACCGGAUAGGAGCUCCUGCUGCAUGGUGGGGGUUGGAAAGUUUCGGCGGUUGGGGAUGGACUCGCGGCUUAUCAGCUUGUUGGUGGGGUAGUGGCUUACCAAGGCUUUGACGGGUAGCCGGCCUGAGAGGGUGACCGGCCACAUUGGGACUGCGAUACGGCCCAGACUCCUACGGGAGGCAGCAGGGGGGAAUAUUGCACAAUGGGCGGAAGCCUGAUGCAGCAACGCCGCGUGCGGGAUGACGGCCUUCGGGGUGUAAACCGCUUUCGCCUGUGACGAAGCGUGAGUGACGGUAAUGGGUAAAGAAGCACCGGCUAACUACGUG